rnacentral:rRNA from 1 species
UACGGGGGGGGCAAGCGUUGUUCGGAAUUACUGGGCGUAAAGGGCGCGUAGGCGGCACGGCAAGUCCGGAGUGAAAGCCCGGGGCUCAACCCCGGAAUGUCUUUUGAAACUGCCGAGCUAGAGUGCGGAAGAGGCAACUGGAAUUCCCAGUGUAGCGGUGAAAUGCGUAGAUAUUGGGAAGAACACCUGAGGCGAAGGCGGGUUGCUGGGCCGACACUGACGCUGAGGCGCGAAAGCCAGGGGAGCGAACGGG